UGCGAGUCGAGAGACAUCUGGUCUCGGCGAACCGCUCAGUAACACGUGGAUAACAUGCCCUAAGGUGGGGGAUAAUCUCGGGAAACUGAGGAUAAUACCCCAUAGGUCUUCUCUGCUGGAAUGCUUGAAGGCCGAAAACUCCGGUGCCUUAGGAUUGGUCUGCGGCCUAUCAGGUUGUAGUGGGUGUAAUGGACCCACUAGCCCGUGACGGGUAUGGGCCUUGAGAGAGGGAGCCCAGAGAUGGACUCUGAGACAUGAGUCCAGGCCCUACGGGGCGCAGCAGUCGCGAAAACUUCGCAAUGGGGGCAACCCCGACGAGGGAAUUCCAAGUGCCAGCACUUUGUGUUGGCUGUUCUCCUGUCUAAAAAACAGGAGGAGUAAGGGGCGGGUAAGACGGGUGCCAGCCGCCGCGGUAAUACCCGCGCCCCUAGUGGUGGUCGAUAUUAUUGAGCCUAAAACGUCCGUAGCCGGUCUUUUAAAUCUUUGGGCAAAUCGGGCAGCUUAACUGUCCGACUUCCGAGGAGACUGGAAGACUUGGGACCGGGAGAGGUCAGAGGUACUUCUGGGGUAGGGGUAAAAUCCUGUAAUCCUGGAAGGACCACCGGUGGCGAAGGCGUCUGACUAGAACGGAUCCGACGGUGAGG
rnacentral:rRNA from 1 species